rnacentral:tRNA from 1 species
GAGGACAUAGCUCAGAUGGUAGAGCACACGCUUAGCAUGUACAAGGUCCUGGGUUCAAUCCCCAGUUCCUCC